CUCUGUCACCCAGGCUGGAGUGCAGUGGCACAAUCUCGGCUCACUGCAACCUCUGCCUCCCGGGUUUAUACCAUUCUCUUGCCUCAGUCUCCUGAAUAGCUGGGACUACAGGCGC
rnacentral:snoRNA from 1 species